rnacentral:snoRNA from 1 species
AUGCAAAUAUUCUCACUGUUCUGAUUUUUUAAAAAUUAGGACAGGCUAAGCAUUCGCUAUAAGACCAUGCAUGUGCCCCAGACCUAGUUCUUUAUCUAGGUUUGGUUUUAGAAAUGCUGGUGAUCAGG